CAGCCAAUCAGAGUCCUCACACAGAAAGUGGGCAAGGCUUAAAAACGAGUUAAACAAUAGAUUUUUUUCAGAUUGUAACAAAUAUGAAAAAUAUUAUCUUGUCGCGGCAACAAAUUUUACUUUCAAAAUCACAAAAUAAAAAAAAGUCGACCGAGAAUGUAAUUUGGGCAAUUAUGGUGCAUACAGAGGUUUGAAAUACGUUCUAAUCACUCAUAACAAAGUCAUACCUAAUUAUUGAUUAACAAUGAUACAUUUGUUAGGGUGACAUUAUUGUUUGUAACAAUUUCAUCUCAAUUAUGCAAUGUGAAUAUUAGGAAUCGGCAUUUGCGUUAGGUAGAAAUUGGUGUUUGGCUUUUUGGCUCAGUGAGCUCGAGCAGGCACCACUUUCAGAACGUGCUCUGAAUACAGCCAGGUUCACUUGAAACAGACAGUGUUCAUAGAAGGUAUAUUUAGUGGCGGCUGUUUUUCAUAUUGAAAAAAUACUGCUUAUGUGAGAAUCAAAUAUUGAUAAAAUGCACAUUUCAACCCUUUGCCAUCUUGUAAGAAAUACAUUUCAAGUCACAAUAUGCACCACAUUUAAGUUACGUUUAUAUAUUUUUUAAUUUAAGAUGUUUAUUGUUAAUAAAGAUACCGUCGAAUGGAUUGCAUCAUUCGGUGUAUUCUACAGUAUAUAACACGUCAGUUAGGAUAUUAAUAAUGAGCAAUUAUGGUGCAGGGUUUUCCCCUCAAUGCACACCGUGUGUAUACACAAUAAAUUGAACGAAUAAUAUUUUAGUGUCCCGUUAUGCCUAUCAAAUGAAACGAGAGGGAGGGGCGACAGGCUUAAAUUAAAGCUAUAUAAAAUGCAAUAGCCUUGGCUAAUAAAUACACGUUUAAAGUCAGGGCGUUCAAAAACGUUGCUGUGGAAAUUCUAAAAUGUCUUGACAACAUGGUCUAACUGUAAUUUUCCCUCAUUGAUUGCAAUACUUAUUGGCAGUGAUAUAUAUGUAGUCUAUGGAAAUAAUCGUAUUUGGAUUUAUUGAACACAUUUUCUUUUUUUCUAAACUCAAACGUUCAGUGUUCUCCUAUUGUCUUGCCGCUCGGAAUCAUCAUGUUUCCAUGGUAAUCUGACUGGCAAAACUGAUGUCAAAGCUUCAGGGAGAGGCGAGUAGUAGACUUGCACAAAGCUUUCAGCGCACGGUCAGCGUCUCAGCAGAGUAGUGUCAUUCGAACGCGGUAGGCAAAACUCCACGGAAUCUUGAGGAUGGUGAAUGAGAGAACUCAUUAUUGAGCGUACUAGAGCACAAAUGAUCUGUCAGUCGGCUAUCGCCUGCACUGUCGCCUGCAAUGCCGAACAAGCCCAAUGAGAAGGACAUGAUGCGGCGAUUCAAUUGUCAUUGUCAAGUGGAGACUGACUGCAAUGUAAGGCCAAAUCAUUCAGGGGAUCUACUAUGCUGAAGACACCCCUAGUUGACUGAUUGCGGAAGUUGCAUACUUUUGGCAUUAUGCACAACUUUUUGGAGACUCAUUUGGAACCCAAGUGGUCACCAUUCUGCUUUUCUUCUCUGCUUUUCCAAGACACAUUAGCUGGACUGAAAUAUACUUUUACUGUAUUGAAGACCUAGUUCAAUAUAUGUUAUCUUGUGAAGUAUGUUGGAGAUGUUUAUUUAGUGAACUUAUAAGAUAAAGUUAAACCUUGAUGUGUUUUUGCCUUACUUUGCAAGCCAUAUUGGUUUGUGUAAGGAUCCAGAAAUAUUAUGCAUGAUAUGAUUUAUCACUAGUGUGUAUGUCUGUCAUUUUGUCUUGCAUUCAUUUUGCAAGUUGUCAUAUUUCCAUUGUGAAGAUGUGUGGUAACAAAAGCACAGUAAAGAUGACCAUCUCAUAUUCACACUUCCCUGUCUGGGCAUGGUUCUGCAAAAUAGUUUGUCCACAGUUUCAUAGUUGUGGUGUUACACAAACACACACACACAUUCCCCAAGUUGGACAAAUAACUUAUGGCACUUUGCUUAUUUCACUUAUCUGAGAAAUAGGAAUGGUGACAAAUGAUGGUUGAAGACUUUCUCUUCACGGGUGACAGGUCAGGGGCAAAGAGCCUUUCAGGGUCAGUGAUAAAACUGAUAGCCAUUCUCUCUCUCCCUGCACAUUUCUUUCUCAACAGCUCCCCUUGGAAGAAUUCUGCUAAAAUAUCCUCUGUGUACAACGUAGAACACCAAAUAAUGCAUGCAGAGCAGAAUUAGGCCGAUACCCGCUAAUUAUCAAAAUCCAGAAAAGAGCCAUUAAAUUCUACAACCACCUAAAAGGAAGCGAUUCCCAAACCUUCCAUAACAAAGCCAUCACCUACAGAGAGAUUAACCUGGAGAAGAGUCCCCUAAAGCAAGCUGGUCCUGGGGCUCUGUUCACAAACACAAACACACCCCACAGAGCCCAAGGACAGCAACACAAUUAGACCCAACCAAAUCAUGAGAAAACAAAAAGAUAAUUACUUGACACGUUAGAAAUAAUUAAUUAAUUCCUGACCACUGUGACGGACCCAAACUUAAGGAAAGCUUUGACUAUGUACAGACUCAGUGAGCCAAGCCUUGCUAUUGAGAAAGGCCACCGUAGGCAGACCUGGUUCUCAAGAGAAGACAGGCUAUGUGUACACUGCCCACAAAAUGAGGUGUAAACUGAGCUGCACUUCCUAACCUCCUGCCCAAUGUAUGACCAUAUUAGAGACACAUAUUUCCCUCAGAUUACACAGAUCCACAAAGAAUUAGAAAACAAACCCGAUUUUAAUAAACUCCCAUAUCUACUGGGUGAAAUACCACAGUGUGCCAUCACAGCAGCAAUAUUUGUGACCUGUUGACACAAAAAAAGGUUAACCAGUGAAGAUCAAACACCAUUGUAAAUACAACCCAUAUUUAUACUUAUUUAUUUUCCCUAUUGUACUUUAACCAUUUGUACAUCGUUAAAACACUGUAUAUAUACCUAAUAUGACAUUUGUAAUGUCUUUAUUAUUUUGGAACUUCUGUGAGUGUAAUGUUUACUGUUCAUAUUUAUUGUUUAUUUCACUUUUGUAUAUUAUCUACUUCACUUGCUUUGGCAAUGUUAACAUAUGUUUCCCAUGCCAAUAAAGCCCCGUGAAUUGAA